UACGGGGGGGGCAAGCGUUGUUCGGAAUUACUGGGCGUAAAGGGCUCGUAGGCGGCCAACUAAGUCCGACGUGAAAUCCCCAGGCUUAACCUGGGAACUGCGUCUGAUACUGGAUGGCUUGAGUUUGGGAGAGGGACGCGGAAUUCCAGGUGUAGCGGUGAAAUGCGUAGAUAUCUGGAGGAACACCGGUGGCGAAGGCGGCGUCCUGGACCAACACUGACACUGAGGAGCGAAAGCCAGGGGAGCAAACGGG
rnacentral:rRNA from 1 species